GACGCCGUGACGGGGAGGAGAACGGCAGAAGUGGACGCAGACAAACGAGGAGGAAUCAGGACGAGCGAGCAAUGGCAGGACUGACGAAAAACAUUGCUGCGAAGACGUCCCCUCUAGACGACGGUAUAUCAUCCUGUGACGACCACAUUGAAG